AUUGAACGCCGGCGGCAGGCCUAACACAUGCAAGUCGAGCGGAUGAAGGGAGCUUGCUCCUGGAUUCAGCGGCGGACGGGUGAGUAAUGCCUAGGAAUCUGCCUGGUAGUGGGGGAUAACGUCCGGAAACGGGCGCUAAUACCGCAUACGUCCUGAGGGAGAAAGUGGGGGAUCUUCGGACCUCACGCUAUCAGAUGAACCUAGGUCGGAUUAGCUAGUUGGUGGGGUAAAGGCCUACCAAGGCGACGAUCCGUAACUGGUCUGAGAGGAUGAUCAGUCACACUGGAACUGAGACACGGUCCAGACUCCUACGGGAGGCAGCAGUGGGGAAUAUUGGACAAUGGGCGAAAGCCUGAUCCAGCCAUGCCGCGUGUGUGAAGAAGGUCUUCGGAUUGUAAAGCACUUUAAGUUGGGAGGAAGGGCAGUAAGUUAAUACCUUGCUGUUUUGACGUUACCAACAGAAUAAGCACCGGCUAACUUCGUG
rnacentral:rRNA from 1 species